AACUCAGUCAGAGGAAAGUCUUGUUAGAGUUAACUCUUAAAUUUAUUUAAAUUUAAAGGUAUUUUUCUUAGUUAAUUUGGCCAAUUUCUUUAAUUCUUCAAACAACAACAACAACAACAACCCGAGCCUUUUGAAUUCAGCUUGGGUGUGUGAGUGAGUGUGAGUCAGCAGCUGAGCGCUCUGCAGAGGAGGCUAAUAGAUCGCUCCCAGCCGGCCGUUUUCUCUAAGUGCAGCCAGGAUCACAGGAAAGGCUUGGGGAAGCCUUUUAAAGCAUCGGGGGAGUCCGAGGCUUCGGAUUUCGUCGCGGAUUGCUGCAGGAGUGAGAGCGUGCUGACCGCAUGGCCAAUAGUCACCAUUUCGCUGGUGGCGGCCAUUUUGUUUGGGCUUAAAGGCACAGCAAACUAUUGUGGAAGGCAGCUGGGCGAAAACUGAGAGGAUUGCAGCUUUGGAGAGCUGGAUCUGCUUCUGCUCACGCAAGUAAACAUGUUCCAGUAUUUUUUUCUACAAUUGUGGCCUUGGCAACAAUUUACUUGGGCUGCCCUUUCUUGCUGCUGCUGCUGCCUGGUUAUUGUAACCGUGUUGCUGGUUUAGCAAUUCAUUAUAAGCUCUGAACUGCCCAGUGAGUAAUCCUUUUAUAUUUGCCUUAUUUUGAUUGUUAUAUUGUGUCCAUUAUGGCCAAUAGUAGCGAUUCUGAGGAAACUUAUGCUCCUCAACCUCAGCCUGAAGGCUCUAGAAGAUUGAGAUCCAGCAAGCUUUCUGCUAACACCCAGGCUAAUCAAUCUAAAUCAUUUGCAGCUGCUGAUAAAGAUGCCUUGAGAAGACAAAAAGCUUUAGAAAAACAGUUUGCAAAAGCUCAACUGCAGGCUGUUUCUGCUGCUUCUAAAUCCCCUGUGGGGUCAGGGGAUCAAGGUGGGGCUCCCCAUAUUUUUCCCACUGUUAUUAUAAAUCAAGGGCCUCAAGAGGAGCAACCUAACUGGUCUCCCACUGUUGUUCAGGAACAACAGGAGUUUCACGCUGUUCCUUUUCAGGAAGGUCAUGUCUUGCCUACUCCUGUGCCUUCCCAGGCCCCAGAUGUUCAGGGCCCUGCUCCCUCAGCUACUUUUAUGCCCACAGCAGCAGGGCUCCGCCCACAGGAGCCUGCACAGCAGGUUUUGUCCUCAGACUUAUGUUUUGCCAUUUGCAAACCAUUACUCAGGGCAUUGAUGAGGCAUUAGCCCAGAGGGGUUUUCCAGCUCCUGCUCACCCAAGGCCUUCCAGGGCAGACCCUGUGACUCAGCUAGCUGGACAUAGGGAUUACAGGGAGGAAUCCUAUCAGGAUACUCAAUCUAUUCACAGUGAAGAUUCCCUGGUAGGUGAGGAGGAAUUAGGUGAAUUUGAGAUGUCUGGGGAUGAAGGCCUUUCUCAGGAUAAGCCUACUUAUUCUGGUUUAUUCAAACCUCACCUUUUCAGAACAUUAUUAAUGAAGGCUAAGAUGACUGCUAAUAUGGGCCAGGUGGAUAAAUCUACUUCUGCCCCUAGGGAUUCUCAGGAUUUGUGUUUUCAGAACAGGUCACUACUCAGGAGGUUAUCCCAUCUCCACAGUUCUUUGUGGAUACAAUUAAGAGGCAAUGGGAUCACCCUAUUUCUGUUUCUCCUCCUAGUGGCAUGGAUAAGGAGUUGUUUUCUGUAGAGAAGGAACUUCUCCAGAUUCCUACUGUGGAUUCCCCCUUGACUAAUUUGGCUUCGGCCUCUAUUCUUCCCUCUGAUAAUGCAGAAGGAUUGAAAUCUGAGGAUAGGAAGGCAGAUUUGGCGGCACGCAAAACUCAUCAGGCCGCGGCUUGGGCGAUUAGAUCUGCUACUGCGGCUUCCUUCAUGGCCAGAACUUCACUCCUCUGGUUCAAACAGCUUCAGACCAGGGUUUCCCCUAAGGAUACCCGCCUGCAACAGGACCUUAGUAAGUUGAUUGCCGCUUCUGAAUACAUAGCUGAUGCCUCCAUUACUGCGGCAAAAUUCACAUCCAGGGCUUUAGCUUCCAAUGUGGCGUCUAGACGCUUGUUAUGGCUACGCCAAUGGCAAGCAGAUGUUAGGUCUAAGGGCCGGCUGGCAGCUGCACCUUUUAAAGGACAACAGCUGUUUGGUGAUGUGUUAGAUCCCAUCCUAGUAGAAGGGAAGGACAAGAGGAAGGUGUUGCCACAGCUGAAUAGGAGAUAUGAUAGGAGACAGGCUCUUUACUAUCGUGGGCAGUCCUUUCGGAGUGCGGAGGCGGGGAUCUCCGCCUCCCAAUCUCAGCGACCAUAUUUCCAGGGAGGAGAUAGACCUCAUGACAGAUCAGGAUUCUGAGAUAGAUCUCGGCAAUCACAGUCCAGAGGCCACUACAGGGGUUCAGGGGGACGCCCCUAUCAUCGUUCCAAGUGAGUCUUGGACCCACAUUCCCAUUGGCGGCAGGUUGAAGGUGUUUGCCGACCAGUGGAGGAAUUCCACCACAGACGCAUGGGCUUUACAAACUGUGACUCUCGGACUAACACUAGAAUUUUGUUCCAGACCCCCUCAUCGUUUCAUUCAGUGUCCAGUUCCCAGGGAUGCCACCAAGAGGGCCAUGAUGGAGACCGAAAUUCAGCAUUUGCUGGAUAUCGCUGCCAUAGAACCGGUACCGAUUUGUCAAAGGGGUUUUGGAUUCUACUCCAUGCUCUUUCUGGUGCCAAAGCGUUCGGGGGGCCAAAGGGCUAUUUUGAACCUGAAAGACCUCAACGUUCACAUUCAUUACAAAAGGUUCAAGAUGCAUUCUCUGCAUUCGAUCCUGGGAGGGGAUCUCUUAACAUCAAUAGACCUCAAGGAGGCUUACCUUCAUGUGCCCAUAAGGUUAUCCCACAGGAAGUUUCUCAGGUUUGCCUUUGCGGGCUGUCAUUGGCAAUACCGGGCCCUUCCCUUCGGCCUAUCAUCAGCACCCCGCACCUUCACCAAAUUACUAGACGUGGUGGCAGCUCGUUUGCGGGCCCAUCCAGUCCGCCUGCAGUGUUACCUGGACGAUGUGCUGAUCCAGUCAUCGUCUCCCAGUCAGGCACAGCGAGACCUUCAUUUUACCAUCCAGACCCUGCAGGAUCAUGGCUUCUCAGUAAACUGGGAGAAAAGCCAUCUGACUCCAUCCACCAGACUGGUGCAUUUGGGGGCGGUAAUAGACACCCAGUUAUCUCAGGUGUUUCUGUCGCAGGAACGCAAGGACAGCAUCAGACAGUUGAUAGGGCAGAUUCAGGCGUCUGGCUCUGUGCCCCUUCUUCUCCUGUCUCAACUAUUGGGAAAGAUGAUAUCUUGCCUUGCCAUAGUUCCCUGGGCUCGGUUUCAUACCAGAGCCUUACAAUGGUUCCUACUACCCAGUCAGAAGUCAGGGAGCAGCAAUUCUCUAGGCAAGGUCAGAGUUUCUCCACAGGUGCUUCGCUCCUUGGACUGGUGGCUGUCGGUAGCCUUGGAGAAAGGAUGCCUGUUUCGGGACCCUCCCAGACUGGUCUUGAUGUCGGACGCCAGUCUCUUCGGUUGGGGAGAGCAUCUGGGAGCCUCCAUGACGCAAAGGCGUUGGUCUCAGGAAGAUCUCCAGAACGACGACAACAGGCUGGAGCUGAAGGCAGCGCACCUGGCGCUUCAACACUUUCGGGCCGAGCUGUAGGAUCAACAUGUUCUCCUUUUCACAGACAAUGUUACGGCCAAGGCGCAUGUCAACCGGCAGGGCAGCACCUGUUCGAAGGUCCUCAUGCGCGAGGCGAGGCGGCUGUGUCUCUGGGCGGAACGACAUCUUCGGUCCUUGAAAGCAGAACACAUCACCGGGACGUCCAACUCCACGGCAGAUUGGUUGAGCCAGACUACGAUAGACCAGUCCGAAUGGCAUCUUCACCCGGACCUGUUUCAUCUCAUCACUGUUCAUUUCGGGGACCCGAUCCUGGACUUGUUUGCUACCCCUCAGAAUGCUCAUCUUCCGAGGUUUUUCACCAGAUUUUGGACUCCAGCGGCUGAAGGAGUCAAUGCCCUUCGCUGCCCGUGGCUGACCGGGUUGCUGUACGCAUUUCCCUCGAUUCCCCUGCUCCAGAAGGUGAUCGGGAAGAUUCUGGUGGAAUGGGCGGAGGUGUUACUAGUGGUGCCGUACUGGCCGAGACGUCCAUGGUUCGCAGACCUCAUGUCCCUUUUGACGGAACGCCCCUGAAGUUUGCCACCGCACCGGGUCUCCCUCAGUCAGGGCACUCUUCAACAUCCAGACCCCCAAUGGCUCCAGUUAAUCACCUGGCGAUUGAGCGGGAAGCUCUCCAGAGGGAACACUACCCCUCUGAGGUAAUUUCCUUCUCGGAAGCAGUCAACGCUUCGCAUCUAUCAGGCCACCUGGGCGGUGUUUUGUCGCUGGUGCGCAAAGAAUUCUUUUGUACCAACAGCUGCGACGGUCCCGCAGGUUCUCGCCUUUUUGCAGCACGGCUUGAAGAAGAAGCUGUCCACUAAUACACUGCGUCGUCAGGUUGCUGCCUUGGCAACUGUUUUACCAGGUGAGGGUCCUAUUCCCCUUUCACACCAUCCCAAGGUUCGCAGUUUCUUGAAAGGUGCUGCCAACUUGUUGCCGCCCGUGGUCCACCGUUACCCAACUUGGGACCUUUCUCUAGUUUUGCAGGCGCUCACCUCGCCUCCUUUUGAACCUUUAAGAUCUUCCACUCUUCAGUUAUUCACAUUUAAAGUUGCCUUUUUAGUGGCUAUUACUUCUGCACGCAGAGUUUCCGAGUUGGCGGUGCUUUCGGUCCGCCAGGAUUUGUGCAUUUUUCAUCUGGACUGGGUCAUUUUAAGACUGGACCCUACGUUUGUUCCAAAAGUUAAUUCUUGGUUCCAUAGGGCACAGGAACUUAUUUUACCAGAUUUUUGCCCUAAUCCUAGGAAUCAGACUGAGAAGCGCUGGCAUACCCUUGAUGUGCGCAGAGCCUUGCGAUGCUAUGUCAAAAGGACGGCCUCAUUUCAACAGACGGAGGCCCUGUUUGUUUCGUUUCAGCCCAGGUCAAUGGGGAAGAAGGUUUCACCAUCUACAGUUGGUCGCUGGCUCAAGGCUUGCAUCGCAUUGGCCUAUGAACAUCAAGCUUGUCCAGUGCCGUGUUGCAUUACGGCACACUCUACUUGUAGUGUGGCCACUUCAGCUGCUUGGGCUACGCAAGCCUCCAUCUUGGAGAUCUGCAGAGCCGCUACUUGGACCUCUCCUUCGCCAUUCGUGAGGCACUACAAGUUGGACCAGUUCGCAUCAGCCGAAACAGCGUUUGGAAGGCGUGUCUUACAGAGAGUCCUACCGGCCGAGGGGACCCUGGACCGAUCUGCUUCCCUCCCUUCUUCGACUUAGCUUGGGUAUAUCCCAGGCUUGGACACUCCAAGCAGUGCACAGGAGAUUGAACGUUGGGCUUACCUUGAACGUUCCAUCUAGGUGCACUGCUGGAGUGUCCAAAUUCCAUCCUGGCUUGUGCUGGUCCGGGGUCCAGGAGUGGUCGGUUUUGAUCAGAUGGCGUCUUCCAUGGUUCCGUUUUCGUUGAAAAAACUGAAGGCUCGGCUGGAAGAUGGAGGGCGUGGCCAAAGAAAUUCCAACCCAGUGACAUCAUAUCUGACUGACAAGAACCCAGGCUUGGACACUCCAGCAGCGCACCUAGAUGGAACGUUCAAGAUGCCCUAAUGUUUCCCCUUCUUUUCAAACACCAAGUCUACCUGAGAUUGGCCAAUGCACAGACAGUAGCUGUAAAGUCCCAA